GUCAAAAGUGCCAAAAUUACAAAAGCGGUGGUGGAAGUGUGUGGUGUGAACCGUGUACGCUGAAUUUUGAACUGCUUCUAGCAGUUACCAGCACGGCCAAAUAAUUGGAUCGAUCCAUGUUGCGCUAAUUUUAUAUUUAAUCAUAAGCUUUUAUUAAAUUUUCUAUCGUUAUACGAAAGUCCGGCAACCAUGGCUCACUGUAUGAGAGUUUUGCAUGGCCAGGGUGGCAGGACAAGGGCUGUACUGGUGGAAAUUCAGCAGAGAUGCUUCAGCGUAUCACCAUUGACCGCUGCGGCGGCUCAGGUCGCCAUGUCGAAAUUCGACAAGGCUCCACUGCCAUACGAGAAAUUAUCAAAGACUCUGGAUGUUGUCAAAAAGAGGUUAGGUCGUGACAUGACCUUGUCGGAGAAGGUGCUCUACUCACAUUUAGAUGACCCCAAAGGACAAGAAAUCGAACGCGGCACAAGCUACCUGCGCCUACGGCCGGACCGUGUGGCCAUGCAGGACGCUACCGCACAGAUGGCCAUGCUGCAGUUCAUCUCAUCGGGACUGCCGCGCGUAGCUGUACCCUCCACCAUCCACUGCGACCACUUGAUCGAGGCGCAGAUCGGAGGCGACAAGGACUUGGCUAGAGCUAAGGACAUCAACAAAGAAGUAUACAAGUUCCUCGAGACCGCUGGAGCUAAAUAUGGAGUCGGUUUCUGGAAGCCAGGCUCUGGAAUCAUCCAUCAGAUCAUCCUGGAGAACUACGCUUUCCCCGGACUCCUUAUGAUCGGAACUGACUCCCACACACCUAAUGGAGGAGGUCUUGGUGGUCUUUGCAUUGGUGUCGGUGGUGCUGAUGCUGUAGACGUGAUGGCUGACAUUCCAUGGGAACUGAAGUGCCCGAAAGUUAUCGGUGUCAAAUUGACAGGCAAACUAAAAGGCUGGACCAGCCCCAAGGACGUGAUCCUGAAGGUCGCCGGCAUCCUGACCGUAAAGGGAGGCACCGGCGCAAUCGUCGAGUACCACGGGCCUGGAGUUGACUCCAUCUCCUGCACUGGAAUGGCCACCAUUUGCAACAUGGGCGCUGAGAUUGGUGCUACCACUAGUGUGUUCCCAUUCAAUUCUCGCAUGGAAGCGUAUCUGAAGUCGACCGGCCGCCACGACAUCGCCGCUCUCGCCAACAAGCACAAGAACUUGCUCACACCCGACGCUAAGGCGCCCUAUGACCAGCUCAUCGAAAUCGACCUUUCGACCCUGGAGCCCCACGUCAACGGACCAUUCACCCCGGACUUGGCCAACCCGAUCUCCAAGCUUGGCGACAUCGCCAAGAAGAACGACUGGCCCGUGGACAUCCGCGUCGGCCUCAUCGGAUCUUGCACCAACUCCUCAUACGAAGACAUGGGCCGCUGCGCUAGCAUUGUUAAGGAGGCGCUGACUCACGGCGUGAAGUCCAAGAUCCCGUUCAACGUCACGCCCGGCUCUGAGCAGGUGCGCGCCACCAUCGAGAGGGACGGCAUCGCGCAGACCCUCAGAGACUUCGGAGGCACUGUAUUAGCCAACGCCUGCGGGCCCUGCAUCGGGCAGUGGGACCGCAAGGACGUGAAGAAGGGCGAGAAGAACACCAUCGUGACGUCAUACAACAGGAACUUCACCGGCCGCAACGACGCCAACCCUGCCACCCACUGCUUCGUCACCAGCCCUGAGCUCGUCACCGCUCUGUCGCUCGCUGGUCGCCUGGACUUCAACCCGCUGACGGACGAGCUGACGGGCACGGACGGCAAGAAGUUCAAGCUGUCCGACCCCUUCGCGGACGAGCUGCCCGCCAAGGGCUUCGACCCCGGCCAAGACACGUAUGAGCACCCGCCUGCUGACGGCAGCAAGGUGCAAGUGGACGUGUCCCCAUCCUCCGACCGUCUGCAACUCCUGGCUCCGUUCGACAAGUGGGACGGCAAGGACCUCACCGACCUGACCAUCCUCAUCAAGGUCAAGGGCAAGUGCACCACUGACCACAUCUCUGCCGCCGGGCCCUGGCUCAAGUACCGCGGCCAUCUCGACAACAUCUCCAAUAAUAUGUUCAUCACCGCCACAAACGCGGAAAACAACGAACUCAACAAAGUCCGCAACCAGAAGACGGGCGAGUGGGGUCCCGUACCAGCCACCGCGCGCGCAUACAAAGCGGCCGGCGUCCGCUGGUGCGUCGUGGGCGACGAGAACUACGGCGAGGGCUCCUCGCGCGAGCACGCCGCGCUCGAGCCGCGCCACCUCGGCGGCCGCGCCAUCAUCGUCAAGUCCUUCGCCAGGUCAGUGGGAGACCAGUACACUUGCAGUACACUGCGAGCCACAAGGCAGCCGGUAUCUGCUGGUGCGUCGUGGGCGACGAGAACUACGGCGAGGGCUCCUCGCGGCCGCGCCAUCAUCGUCAAGUCCUUCGCCAGGUCAGUGGGAGACCAGUACACUUGCAGUACACUGCGAGCCACAAGGCGGCCGGCGACCGCUGGUGCGUCGUGGGCGACGAGAACUACGGCGAGGGCUCCUCGCGCGAGCACGCCGCGCUCGAGCCGCGCCACCUCGGCGGCCGCGCCAUCAUCGUCAAGUCCUUCGCCAGGUCAGUGGGAGACCAGUACACUUGCAGUACACUGCGAGCCACAAGGCGGCCGGCGUCCGCUGGUGCGUCGUGGGCGACGAGAACUACGGCGAGGGCUCCUCGCGGCCGCGCCAUCAUCGUCAAGUCCUUCGCCAGGUCAGUACAAGUCAAGGCCAAGAAUUUUUAAUACCCUUGGCUUAUAGUCUAUCAUCGCCAAGUCUUUCGCAGGGUCAGUGAGGGGAAAGCAAUUCGGCAAGUAAUCCAGCGUCGUCAAGUCCUUCGCCAGGUCAGUACAAGUCAAGGCCAAGAAUUUUUAAUUCCCUUGGCUUAUAGUCUAUCAUCGCCAAGUCUUUCGCAGGGUCAGUGAGGGGAAAGCAAUUCGGCAAGUAAUCCAGCGUCGUCAAGUCCUUCGCCAGGUCAGUGGGAGACCAGUACACUUGCAGUACACUGCGAGCCACAAGGCGGCCGGCGUCCGCUGGUGCGUCGUGGGCGACGAGAACUACGGCGAGGGCUCCUCGCGCGAGCACGCCGCGCUCGAGCCGCGCCACCUCGGCGGCCGCGCCAUCAUCGUCAAGUCCUUCGCCAGAAUCCACGAAACCAACCU